CAGUAGCCGCGGUAAUACGUAGGGUGCAAGCGUUAAUCGGAAUUACUGGGCGUAAAGCGUGCGCAGGCGGUUAUAUAAGACAGAUGUGAAAUCCCCGGGCUCAACCUGGGAACUGCAUUUGUGACUGUAUAGCUAGAGUACGGCAGAGGGGGAUGGAAUUCCGCGUGUAGCAGUGAAAUGCGUAGAUAUGCGGAGGAACACCGAUGGCGAAGGCAAUCCCCUGGGCCUGUACUGACGCUCAUGCACGAAAGCGUGGGGAGCAAACAGGAUUAGAGACCCCGGUAGUCCUGUCUCUUAUACA
rnacentral:rRNA from 1 species